AACCUUCCAUACCGUCAAACCCCCACCAUAAUCUCCGAUAACCUCAAAUCCUUAUCAACAUCAAAACCUCACCAACAUUUAAACCCCCUCCAUAACCUUGAUAACCUAAAUGUUCUAUCAUUUCUCUUCGUUUCCAGUUUCUGUAAGUUGGAUUAUUAGUUUUCUGUUGUGCUGUUGUUCUUGUUUUCCGGCGCUCUAGCACUCUUGUUCCGGUCAUAUGGUGGAAUCUUGUAUAUUUUUUCUUUCUGACAUCCGGCUGUUAUCAUUUUCUUUUCUUGGGUUUCUCCUAAUCCUCU
rnacentral:lncRNA from 1 species